CUUUUUGAAUGUUAUGAUGUGAUUGAUGCUGUGAUGUGACUGAUGUUGUCAUGUGACUGAUAUGAUGUAACUCAUUUUAUGAUGUGAUUGAUGUUGUGAUGUGACUGAUGUUGACUUUGACUUCAAUAUCUAUGUUGAGAUUCUACCGUUGAUCCAAUUGAUUACAACUAUAAGGAUGAAUGGUGCUGAUGUUUGUAAAAAGCAUUUGAAGGUUUCAAUUAGCUUGGCCAAUCAACAUGAGGGAAGUUAAAGGUGAUUGGCUGAUCAGAUUAAAUCUAUAAAGUACUCUUGACAAACAUUGAAGUUUCAUGUGAGAAUAGACAAUGUUUUUAUCAACAUUGUUCAUGCAUCCUUAAUAAUUGCAAUUGACGGUAUUUCAAGGUACAGUAGCUGUCGCCUCUGAAUCACAAUUUUUUAUUUUUUAGACACAGCUUUGGGCAAGAUCAUGUUGCAUAUUUUCAAUCACUUCUCUUUGAAAUAAGCCAACCUUUUGUUUUACUUCUUUGUUUGUAAAUAUCAAGAUGAAAAAAAUAAAAGUUUAACUUUAAGUGA